UUGGCCAUUAUUGUGAAUCCCCAGGAGUUGCCCCAGUCUUUCCUCAAAUGCACAUUAACCUUGUGACUCCACUAAAACAUUUUGCAUACAUCUAGGUAUAGCCUAAGAACAGCGUGGAAGAGGAGACCCCAUGAGGCGGGAAGAGGAUGAAGAGGAUGGAAGCGGGCUGCAGGCAAAAGGAGCCUUAGCAAUGAAGGAGGAGGAGGAGAUCAGUGAGCCUGGAGAACUGGCUGGGCAGUUUGUGAGUGCUGUGCCCACCCCCAUGCCCCACAACAGGGGGACCCGGUUCUCUGAAGCAUGGGAGUAUUUCCAUCUGGCUCCUGCUCGUGCUGGGCACCAUCCCAACCAAUAUGCCACCUGCCGCCUGUGUAGCAAGCAGGCUUCCUACUGUUUGCUGACCAUUGGACAAAACUGCAAUGUGCUAACUAAAGAUAAAGGUUGUUUUGCCAAGAUGGGCAGAAGUUGUCACAUUGUUUAGUGAAAAUAACAGCCUUUGUGCCUAGUGGUUGUUUUGGGGGAGGGGAAGGUUUCCAUACCUGAGGCCGGCAUGGAGCUGAAAUGCGCCUAUGCGACCAGUGACUCAUAGAGACCUCCGUGCUAGCAAAGCACAGCCUUCCUGGGUCAGAGCUAUUUGUAUUGAUAUUGAUAGUGAUUGGAGACCUGGAUGUGAAUCUUGCUCUGUGUGAUCCGAGGGUAGAAAGACAAAGAGGCUUCAGCCUGAGCUCUCUGGAACUUGUGAUGUAUCUUUUUUCCCCGUUGCAGUGUUUUAUAGUCUGCUUAGAUUAAAGCUAUUUCCCCAGUAUAGUCUAACUGUCCUUUAAAUUUUUCCAACAAUCCAACACAUAAACCAAUUAGUAUGUAAUUAUCACAGUGAGAAGUCAAAGAUUUUUCAACACACAUGGUUUAAAUAUUAAGAAUAAAGAACAUAAAAAUUUGCUCCAAAGUAUUUAUGUUUAGUCUAAUUUCACAUUAUGUUCUAUUAAUGUGGAGGAGGUAGUGAGGAAGACAUAAAAGAAACUCAGAAAAAGAAGACAGAAAGAUGAGGUAGGUAACGAGACCUAAUAAACGGAUUAAAAAGAAAAGAAUAGAAAAUGUGUGAAAAUGGGGAAGAGAGACAGUUUUCUAGAAGAAGUUCACCGCGAAAAGAAAAAAGAUCAUGACUGUGUCUUCAUGAAGUAACUCAGGUUUUUUUUGUACCUACAGAUUAGUCCUUCAUUUGAAAAGCAG
rnacentral:lncRNA from 1 species